GCAUUUUUUGAAGAAAAUGUAAUUAAUGACCACACCCCCACACUAUACACCCCCUCCACUCCACCCCUCCUUCCUUUGUGAUUGAAAUUGAGAUAGGUCCCUUCACCUUUAAAAAGAAAAAUAGAUGAGCGGUCUGCAUCCGCAAGGCGGUGCUCUUGUUUUUAAUACGGACCAGGGAAAGGGACAUUUUUCCUUAUAUGGCUAUAGUAGAACCUAGUUAACACUUAAGAAGUCACAUUAUUAGUCCAAUCUUCAUGAAACUUGAACGUUUGUUCUAAUAAUAUAUGCACUGAUUUAGAAAUUGGUUCCCUUCUAUUGAAAAACAUUUCCGUCUUUAAAGCUGGGUAUUUUUUCCUUAUAUUGCUAUAUUAAAACCAUGUUAACUGACAAGUUGAUAUUUUGGCCAAGUUUUAAAAUGGUUUCAGAAACAUUUCAAAAGUUGCUAAGAGCAGUUCAAUUCCCUGAGGUCUCAGGUCAGCGACUGUUGGCCUCUGGCCCUCUUAUUAGUUUUUGUGUGAUGAAACUUUUCAAGGCUGCAUUUCAACAUGAACCUUUAUUGCUGUAUAGAUUUCAAUGAGAAAAAGUGCCAUACACAAGAACCAUAACCCUUAAUUUUCUGAAAUAUACACGUCCCUUUUUUUCAGCUCACCUGAUUGCUCUGGUGAGCUUUUCUGAUCGGUCUUUGUCCGUUGUCCGUCCGUCCGUUAACAUUUGUUUAUAAACACUCUAGAGGCCACAUUUGUUGUCCCAUCUUCAUAAAACUUGGUCAGAAGCUUUGCCCCAAUAAAAUCUCGGCCGAGUUCGAAACUGGGUUGUGCCGGGUCAAAAACUAGGUCACUAGGUAAAAAAAAAGAAAAACCUUGUAAACACUGUAGAAGUCACAUUUUAUGUUCAAUCUUCAUGUAACUUUGUCAAAAUGUUUGUCUUAAUGAUAUCUUGAUUGAGUUCAAAAGUGGUUCCGGUCUGUUGAAAAACAUGGCCUUCAGUGGGCGGGGCAGUUUUCCUUAUUUGGCUAUAGAGAAACCUUGUAAACACUGUAGUAGUCACAAUUUUUGCCCAAUCAUCAUGAAAGUUGGUCAAAACAUUGGUUUUAUUGAUAUCUCGGACGAGUUAGAAAAUGGUCCAGAUCGGUGAAAAAACAUGGCGGCCAGUGGGCGGGGCAUUUUUCUUGAUAUGUAUAUAGUGUCAGUUUUUCCUAUUUGGCUAUAGAGAAACCUUGUAAACACUCUAGAAGUCACAAUUUUUGCCCAAUCAUCAUGAAAGUUGGUCCUAACAUUGGUUUUAUUGAUAUCUCGGACGAGUUGGAAAAUGGUCCAGAUCGGUGAAAAAACAUGGCCGCCAGUGGGCGGGGCAUUUCUCUCUAUAUGUAUAUAGUGAAAACAUGAGAACACUCUAGAAGUCACAUUUUUGGCCCAAUUUUUAUGAAAUUUGGUCAGAACAUUUGUUUCCUUGAUAUGAGAGUAGAGUUCGAAAAUGGUUCUUGUCAAAUCAAUAACAUGGCUGCUGGGGGGGGGGGGGCAGUUUCCUUAUUUGGCUUUAGUGAAACCUUGUAAACACUCUAGAAGUCACAAUUUUAUCCCAAUCAUCAUGAGAGUUGGUCAAAACAUUGUUUUUAUUUAUAUCUCGGACGAGUUUGAAAAUGGUCCACAGAUCGGUGAAAAAACAUGGCCGCCAGUGGGCGGGGCAUUUUUCUCUAUAUGUAUAUAAUGAAUACAUAUGUGAACUCUCUAGAAGUCACAUUUUUGGCCCAAUUUUCAUGAAAUUUGGUCAGAACAUUUGUUUCUUUGAUAUGAGAGUUGAGUUCGAAAAAGGUUCCGGUCAGUUGAAUAACAUGGCUGCGGGGGGGGGGGGGGCAGUUUUCCUUAUUUGGCUAUAGAGAAACCUUGUAAACACUCUAGAAGUCACAAUUUUUUGCCCAAUCAUCAUGAAAGUUGGUCAAAACAUUGGUUUUAUUGAUAUCUCGGACGAGUUCGAAAAUGGUCCAGAUCGGUAAAAAAACAUGGCUGCCAGUGGGCAGGGCAUUUUUCUCUAUAUGUAUAUACUGAAAACAUAUGUGAACACUCUAGAAGUCACAUUUUGGCCCAAUUUUCAUGAAAUUUGGUCAGAAAAUUUGUUUCUUUGAUAUGAGAGUUGAGUUUGAAAAUGGUUCCAGUCAGUUGAAUAACAUGGCCGGCGGGGCGGGGCAGUUUUCUUAUAUUUAUAUAAAAGCUUGUGAACACUCUAGAAGUCACAUUUUUUGCCCAAUCAUCAUGAAACUUGGUGAAAAGAUUGGUUUUAUAUAUAUAUCAAAUAAUUAAUGCCAUAAUUAUUGCCCUUAGAUUGUCCAAAUUUUCAUUAUAUUAUACAAAAUCCUUGUAACACUAGAGGUCACAAUUUUGUUUCAGAUUUUAUGAAUCUUGGUCAUAAUAUUUAUUUUUGUUAGCAAAAUUUGAUGUUUGGUAAGGGGGGUCAACUCAAAAUAUAGGCCACCAGCUUAAAUCUUACAAAAACAAAAUCACUCCAUAUGCCAUAUUUUUGGUUCAAUAAUGAUGAAACUUGACCAGGAUGUUUGUCUGGACAAUAUCUAGGUCAAGUUUGAUGUUUGGUAAAGAUUGAAUGAACUGACUCCUCUCAGAUGAGCGAACUAGGGUCAUCUUGGCCCUCUUGUUUAAUGAAGCAACAUGUUGGGGCUAUAUCUUAUAUAUGAUAAAAUAUUUUAACAUGAAACUUCAUGGAUGUACAUAUGUCAAUGAGAAGAAGUGCCAAGCACAACAACCGUAACCAUAUACUUUCAAGUUUUUUUUAAUAAGAGUAAUUGCCGUUUGUUAUUUUGUAUGAUGUAUCUUUAUAGGGCUAUAUCUCAGUAAAUAUAAACAAUUUAAAUAUGAAACUUCAUGGAUGUAAAGAUAUCAAUGAGAAAUGUCAUCCUCAAGAAACAUAACUCUACACUUUCUCAUAUAAUAGUUAUUGUCCUUUGUUGUUUUUGUGUUACCAUUCAACCAUACAUCAAGGGAUUUAAACCCACCCAUAAACAAAACGUGUUUGGAUUGGGAUAUAAAUUCAACACAUUUUCUUGUUAUCAAUUGUAUUGAUAGUAAUUCAUGCCUCACUCCCGAUGUCAAACUUUAUCAAACCUAUGUUGAUGGUUUAAUGAACACAAAUAGUACAUAUUGAGCAGUACUUAGUAUCCUGGGCAUUCUAAUGACUGAACAUACAAGGAGCAGAUCUAUGUAUUAUUUAUUAUUAUUAUUAUUUGUUAGCACCGUAUCAAUAUGAAAACUUAUUUGCUACAUUCAUAAAUGCAGUAUUUGCAAAUGUUAACACUGUGUGAGUCAAUGUAAGAUGGUUCGAGCAUUUGAAAGUCUUGUCCAUUUAUAGUUAUGUAUGACAUCAUCUAAAACAAGGGCACAUUGUUGUUUGGAAAUGUCCUUGAGCCAAAUUUUGUUCUCAGAUUUCUAUUCACAUCUCAGACCUUAGAAAUAUGCCUGUAUGUGUAAAAACAGAUUGUGUAAAAAUGUGUUUAUAACAGUGUGAUUUUCUGAGUGUGAAGGGACUCUCCUUAGAAUGAUAUGGGCCAUUCUGUGUGAGAAGGGACUCUCCUUAGAAUGAAAUGGGCCAUUCUGUGUGAGAAGGGACUCCUUAGAAUGAUAUGGGCCAUUCUGUGUGAGAAGGGGGUUUAAUGCAUUUGCAUAAAGUGUCGUCCCAGAUUAGCCUGCAUAGUCUGCACACGCUUAUCAUUUUCAACACUUUACCCCCAUUAUUUUGACAGAGCCAGGAUCAUAUGUUAUUUUGUACCCAUAAGAUAUUGGCAAUUUUUUAGGCAUGUUAAUUGUUUGAAUGAGUCACUUUUGCAAACCAUGAUUUUGUUAGUUUAUAAACAUUGUGUCUAAUUGUGUGUGAAUUUGCAGAUUUCCAAUAUUUUUUAUUACAACAUCUGUCCAAAUUCACCUUGUUUUUUUUAUAUUACUUUAUCAGUAAUUUAUGGGGUAAUUUGAAUAAUAGAAUUGGGUAUUUUUUACAAUAUAACAUAAUUGUAAUGAUAUAUUCCAUACUAUUUAUUAAAUGUCUACCUUAUAAGGCCCUAUUAAUGAAUCUUACAUUUAUAUACUUCUGAAAAAACAAGAUGAUCUUUUAAUAAGUGUCUUAUUUUCCUUCUUUUAUUCUUCGGUCUUUUUCUAGCAAACUUCUGGAUGGAUUUCAACCAAAGUAUUAUAAAUAGACAUGUAUUGAUCGAUCUUUGAUUCAACAAAAUUUGUGGAAAGCUGCUUUAUCAUUGUUAUGUGUGUAAUUGUGUAUAAUAUCAGGACGCAUAUGAUUUAUGAAGUAACACGUGUUCAAUAUAUUUUUGGCAAAGUGCUAUUGAGAUUUUAAUGAGAACAUAUAGGGAAUUUUAUGGCCAAAAAUAUUUUCAAAUACUUAUCGUUAACUUGGUUGAUGAACAUUGCAACUGGACUUGCAUUGAGUGCUGCAACCAGGAUUAGUUCAUGUGUACACGCUUUUGCAAAUCAGUUUUUUACAUUUGAUUGGCAGUAAUUUGUUUAGCAUAACAUAAUUAUUUUUGUCAUGCAAAAAUAUAAAUGAGUUUUAUUAAUUAGUUUUCUGUGUUUUCUAUGAAAUCUUUUUGCCACAUUACAUCACUUUUGUUUUACAGCAUUUAAUACACAAUAUUCAUUAUUAAUGAAUGCAGAUUAUAUGUCAUGAUGAGAUAGUUUAUGUAUUUAUUGAAAUGUCCGAUUGGAUUUGUAUUGAGGAACAUGAAAUUCCUUUUGUAUUAGUGCUUGUAACGGCUUGUUGUUUUACACUGUUCUAAUUUUCAAAAACAUAUGUGUCCGGCGUAAUUAAAUUCUUGUCAUUCAAUUAAAAUCAUUUGACACUUACCAACAGUUUCUCUUACGUUUUGUGUGUUUUUUUCUUAUCUUAAAUUUAUUUGAAUGACCAUAUUUGUGACAAUUUGUGUUGCUCUUUAAGAAAUCAUGUGUUAAUGUUCCAGUUACAUGACAGUACACUGAAAAUCUGUGUUAUUUUUGCAGUUCAUGUCACGUCCAGUGUUUCGUAAUUUAUUGUUUUGUAGUUAAAUCCAAUGCUAAGCAUUGGACGUUAUUGAAUUUUAUUUUCAGUUGAAAUUUUUCUUAUAUUGUGUGAGAGAGCUCACGUGCUUUUGAUAUAAUUAAGUAUUGUUAAUUUAAUGUGAUUAAAUAUGCCGAUUCAGAUUUAUAUAUUUUCUGAAAAAAAUGUGUUGUAUUGCAGAAGUCAACAAUGUACAAUUUAAAAAGGAAUAAAUGUGCGAAUAUAGUUCA